CACAGCUAUGAGUCCCUUCGUGUGACGUCUGCGCAGAAACAUGUUCUCCAUGUUCAGCUCAACCGGCCCAACAAGAGGAAUGCCAUGAACAAGAGAGAUGGUAGAGUGCUUCAACAAGAUUUCGAGAGACGCUGACUGUCGGGCGGUGGUGAUCUCUGGUGCAGGAAAAAUGUUCACUGCAGGUACCAGACGCUCUUCACACACCCUGCCAGCCUUCCUAGCUCCUGGCAAUAGACAGUGGAGCAGUGCUUCUGAAUUAGGGUUUUAAGCAGCUUCUAACUUACACUUUUUUUGUUUGUUUGUUGUUUUUUGAGACGGGGUCUUGCUCUGUUGCCAGGCUGGAGUGCAGUGGCACAAUCUCA
rnacentral:sRNA from 1 species